AGUUAUUAAAAAAUUCUGUACAC
rnacentral:piRNA from 1 species